rnacentral:rRNA from 1 species
UACGUAGGGUGCGAGCGUUAAUCGGAAUUACUGGGCGUAAAGCGUGCGUAGGCGGUUCGUUAUGUCUGCUGUGAAAGCCCCGGGCUUAACCUGGGAAUGGCAGUGGAAACUGGCGGGCUUGAGUGUGGCAGAGGGGGGUGGAAUUCCGCGUGUAGCAGUGAAAAGCGUAGAGAUGUGGAGGAACACCAAUGGCGAAGGCAGCCUUCUGGGCCAACACUGACGCUCAUGCACGAAAGCGUGGGGAGCAAACAGG